GGAGACCUCUGGGUUCUGAGCU
rnacentral:miRNA from 1 species